rnacentral:tRNA from 1 species
GCCGGGCUAGCUCAAUCGGUAGAGCGUGCGGCUCUUAGGAUCACAACUUCCAGUGACCGCAAGGUUGCGGGUUCGACCCCCGCGUUCGGCU